rnacentral:tRNA from 5 species
CAAGACAUAGCUUAACCUUAAAGCACUCAGCUUACACCUGAAAAAUGCCCAAUAAACAAGGGCUGCCUUGA